rnacentral:rRNA from 1 species
GAUGAACGCUGGCGGCGUGCCUAAUACAUGCAAGUCGAGCGAACAGAUGAGGAGCUUGCUCCUCUGACGUUAGCGGCGGACGGGUGAGUAACACGUGGAUAACCUACCUAUAAGACUGGGAUAACUUCGGGAAACCGGAGCUAAUACCGGAUAAUAUAUUGAACCGCAUGGUUCAAUAGUGAAAUACGGUUUUGCUGUCACUUAUAGCUGGAUCCGCGCCGCAUUAGCUAGUUGGUAAGGUAACGGCUUACCAAGGCAACGAUGCGUAGCCGACCUGAGAGGGGGAUAGGCCACACUGGAGCUGAGACACGCUCCAGACUCCUACGGGAGGCAGCAGUAGGGAACCGGCCGCAAUGGGGGAAAGCCUGACGGAGCAGCGCCGCGUGAGUGAUGAAGGUCUUGGGAUCGUAAAGCUCUGUUAUUAGGGAAGAACAAAUGUGUAAGUAACUAUGCACGUCUUGACGGUACCUAAUCAGAAAGCCACGGCUAACUACGUG